AACGAACGCUGGCGGCGUGCUUAACACAUGCAAGUCGAGUGCGCGCUUCGGUAGCAAUACUGGAGUGGCGCACGGCGCACGGGUGCGUAACACGUGGGUAAUCUGCCCUUCGAUGGGGAAUAACCUCGCGAAAGCGAGGCUAAUUCCGCAUAACAUUCCGAGGAUUUCGGUUCUUGGAUUCAAAGGAGCAAUUCGUCGGAGGAGGAGCCCGCGCACGAUUAGCUAGUUGGUAGGGUAAUGGCCUACCAAGGCUUUGAUCGUUAGCUGGUC
rnacentral:rRNA from 1 species